rnacentral:rRNA from 1 species
UGGGGAAUAUUGCACAAUGGGCGCAAGCCUGAUGCAGCCAUGCCGCGUGUGUGAAGAAGGCCUUCGGGUUGUAAAGCACUUUCAGCGAGGAGGAAGGUGGUGAACUUAAUACGUUCAUCAAUUGACGUUACUCGCAGAAGAAGCACCGGCUAACUCCGUGCCAGCAGCCGCGGUAAUACAGAGGGUGCAAGCGUUAAUCGGAAUUACUGGGCGUAAAGCGCACGCAGGCGGUUUGUUAAGUCAGAUGUGAAAUCCCCGGGCUCAACCUGGGAACUGCAUUUGAAACUGGCAAGCUAGAGUCUCGUAGAGGGGGGUAGAAUUCCAGGUGUAGCGGUGAAAUGCGUAGAGAUCUGGAGGAAUACCGGUGGCGAAGGCGGCCCCCUGGACGAAGACUGACGCUCAGGUGCGAAAGCGUGGGGCAGCAAACAGGAUUAGAUACCCUGGUAGUCCAGCGCUGUAAACGAUGUCGAUUUGGAGGUUGUGCCCUUGAGGCGUGGCUUCCGGAGCUAACGCGUUAAAUCGACCGCCUGGGGAGUACGGCCGC